UGCAUUGUCCAUUCAAGUGCAUGCCUGAAGGAUGGUAACACAUUUCCUAAGACUGGAGACAAUUAAAUACAAUGUGAUGAAGAAACACCUGAGAACAAUACAUCUAUUUCAAAUUCAAGUGAAGAAACACGUAUACUUAAUGUCACAGAAGAAUAAGGAAACGAAGAUAAUUUAGUUUUAAAGUCGCCCCUUCCCCCGCACCUCCCCCACCACCUCCUUUAUUCCUAGUGCUUUUUUCAUGGUGAAACAUCAAUAUCAUUAAUGUCAUUAAUGUCAAAACACCAAACGUCAGAACAGUCAAGUCAUUCUUUUUGGCUGUAGAUUUUUCCCCUUCUCUCUUCUUGGAGGGGGAUAUAGGUUUAUGGUGUUCUUGAGUUACAGCUAAAGGAACAAAGGGGGGGGGAGGACACAGGCAGGAAUUGCGAGAGGAGAGUCUACAUUUUUCAGGGUUUCUUCUGCCACUGUUUACUGUCCUUCCUAACGUUUUAAAUCUCCUCUCUCUUUCUCUCUCUUUCUCUUUUUCUCUCCCCCUAAAAAUAGUAGCUAUGAGGGAGGGGGGUUGGGGAGGGUGAAGGAAAAAAAAAAAAAAAGGGCACUACGGGAUGUUAACACUUUAGAAGAAACCCGGGGAUCGCCACGUAGCUAGGAAAAAUCGAAGAAGGUUAAUUCCGGGAGGCAGCAGCAGCAGGUUGCACAUACAAAGUGAACAGAAUGGGCCCAAUCCUGCCAGUCCCUUCUUGAAUGUGAAUAAGGUAUAGAGUCCUAAAUAAAAAUGUGCCUGAUCCAAAUAGGAAGGAAUAUGCAGGAUAAUCUAGGAAAAAAAAAAAAGUGGAUUCACUGCAUUCCUGGUCAGUUCCAUGUGGGAAUAAACAGAUCAACGCGGAAUAUUUUUACAGGUACCUCUUUAAUGCUGAAAUGGCCAUGCUAAUUGUGAACUAUGCGAGAAGAAGCAGUAAGAAGUCAAGGCUAUUCAACAGAAACAAAUUAAUGCAGCCUGGAAAAGUCUUUAUUUUCUAAACAGUAAGAGAAUUUCAGAAACAGUAAGGAUACAAAAAAAAAAAAAAAAGCAUACAAAUAAAAAAAAUAAAUGACUUAAUUUUCUUAAAAAUAUUUGGAACUGAAAAAAGAACUUCAAAAAACCCCACCGACAUUUCAUAACAAAUAAAAUUUUGCAGGGGAAAAGAGUUGCUUGACAUGACGUUGAGGGCAAACUGAAGGACUUGUCCCAGGGGCUGUUCAUGCUGCUAUUGCAAAAGUGUGUAGGGCACACAAUAAUCUUAGUUGCCCUAUUAGUAAAUACAAUUUGAUAAUGCCUGUUUCUGUCUAGUGUUCUGUGGUCUUAUAUGUUUCAUAAUACAGUCGAAAAGUUUGUCACAGUGUACUUAGAAGUUGCCUGUUAUACUUAAAGUUUUUGAGAUAAAAGAUGAUUUGGACUUCACAUCUUGAAAGAACAUGUUCCUUAAGGUGGUGAUGGCAGCUUUAAGUUUCUUUGGGGUGUUUUUUUUUUUUUUUUUCUUUUGUUUUGUUUUGUUUUGUUUUGUUUGUUUGCUUGUUUUUAACUGUUUAAUAGGCCAAUAUAUUCUCUCAUAUCAUACCAAUAUAUAUGUCUCUUAAGACUGACAGGAGGAUUGCUGUGAAUAAAAAAGCCUCCUUCAGGAGAUCCCGUGAUCAGCAGAACUUUGUCAGCUUCUCAAAAACAUACUUAGCAUUAGUAUGGCACAUAUUUAUAUUUCAGCUUCUAAACUUUCAGGCAUAUCUAUGUUCAGAAAACAUCUCAAGAGUGUUUGUUAAAUUAUCAUUUAACAUUUAACCAUCACUGGAAGACCCUUUACCUUUAAAGUAAUUCUGAUUGAGUCAAGUAAUAUGUAAAUGACAUGGCUUUUCCCCAUAAAUAAGCAGGCUGAUGUUUUUGAGUGCAGCAUGAAAAAUAAUUUUUGUUGGUAUUGAUAAAUAUUGAUAAAUAUCACAGCCUUAAAGAGAUUACCCAGAAAAGGUAAAUUGAGAUAAAUUAGGUGUAUCUUAUUUCCAAGUGUCUGUCAGAAGUGUGCUUCUGAAGUGAUUCUCCUGACUGUCCCCACAUACUGUACUCCUUUCAACAUUGCGUUAAUGUUGUCUCAUUAUGCAGGAAUUGGCUUCCUUUUGGACAAAACUAAACUGAGAUGUACUCUCUGGGAGCUCACACAAGCACACCAUUUUCAAACAGUAAAAAAUUUUCUCUACAGAAAAUAUUAGAAGUACUGAUGAUGGCUACUCUCAAAAUAUGCAUGGAGUAGUGUGCCUGAGAUUUCUUCUCUUGCAUAUCCUAAGCCAUGCCCUAGGCUUGCCCCAAGUGUUUUUUCAUGUUUUUACAAUGCAGCCCUGAAAUAUCUUCUGGCCUCAAACACAGGUCCUGAGUUUACGAGGUUAUAGACAUUAACAUUUUUUUCAUCGAUGUUUGAAACUUUCAGCAUUCAGGCUAGGAAAAACAACUAAUCAAAAACAGACUUGAAAUGGUUUAUCAGAACAUCAGAAUUAGGAAUACAGUAUUUUACUUUCUAGAUUAUCAAUGAAGUAACAAAGAUGUCCUUUACCUGCUGCUUUGCCAGUAGUAGGCACCAGCUCACAACUGAAGUGCAGGUGUGUGAAACGUCUGUCAUAGCACCAACACAUGUUUGCCAGACGCCACCAAAUGUGGCCCUACACAACAAUAAGAAAUUGUACUUAUUAGAUGAGACAAAGGGAUGUUUUAGGAUUGUUGGUAAGGUAAAAAUUAAAAUAGAAAAUAACCCAUGGGAAUAAACUUUCAUGUAUUAUCUGUUUUUAAUUAAAUCCAGAGUGGUUCAGAUUUUUAGGAGGAUCUCUUGGGCUCAUGCUUUAAUUGUGAAAAUGGCUAAUUUCUGUAUAGUUUAAUUACGUUACUAUUUCAAGUUACUAUAACUGUAGUACUUACAUAAGUUCAGGAAGCAGAAUUUCAUUCCAUCUGGUGAUUACUUAUUUACUUACAUUAAUCAUACAGUCAGAAAACACAGAAUUAAAAAAAAAAAAAAAAAGUAACUACUGAAAACUUGAUUGAACAUACUAGAGAAAUUAAUGUGACUAAAUGUGUCCAUAUGGAGUCUCAAAAUUUUAACACACUUCAAAAAAUUAAUGUAGGAAACAAACAGGGAGCUACAAAUACUGUGAUUUCCCCAAGAAACCUAAUUUUUUUUUCCAUUUGCUACUAAUUGAACUGGUUUAUAUAUCAAGAAUAGAUAUAUAUAAAGCUGCUUUUGGAGUUAUUUACAUUCAAUUAUUUUUCAAUUCUUGUACUGUGUAUACUUACUGAGAUUGAAACUGUUUACUUUCACUCCACUGUGAAUCUCUAAGACAAGUUAAAUACUUAAGAGGACCUAUUAUGUUAACUUAGGGAUUAAAAAAAAUAAGUGUUUCCACUUGGCCAUAUGAGGUCCUGCAGCAAAAUAUUUUCAGGCAUAUUCAUGGUGCAUGACUCACCUGAUGAAGAAGUAUGUUAAACCUUUUAGAGGUUGGUCACUUUCCAGGUCAUGAGUCUACCCUUCUCAUGUCUUUAAAACUCACAAAUAUGACCUACAGAUCAUUACCCUCUAAUAGAUAGUUACUCAGGAGUCAACAAGCUGACCUCUAUACAGUGUAACAUGACCAUCCUGUCUUCUGUCCUAGACAAGGAAGCCAUUUUGUGUUUCUAAUAAUUUUGUUGGGCACUAAUAUACUGAAACUCAGAGUGAUUUCUACUGGCACAAAGUAUCAGAUUACAUCACAAACAGUGUUUUUGCUGUAUGGUGUAUGGUUACAGAAAUUUAGACUACACAAGCAACAGGUUGCAAUGCUAUGCUUUUAAAACUCCAGUGGUAUGUGAGUGUGCACAUGUGCACACCAGAUCACUAGUUAUUGCAGCAAAGGCAGUCACUGCUUCUGCUAUAUAUUUUCUCAACUGAUAGUUUUUUUUUUUUUUUUUUUUUUUUUUUUGAGGUUGUCAUAUGGUAUAACACUUUUACUAGUUGACUCCUCCUACUUUUCUUCAAACCACAUCCUGAUUUUUGGCCUCAGAAACCAAACAUAUGCACAGCUUGCAGAACAACACAUGAUAUUGUUUCUGUAUAACAUCAUACCAGCUGGGAUAUAAAUUCUUACAGACAAUUUUAUGCGAAUGAAAAAUACCUACAUUAAGACAUUUUCCAUAGCUAUGCAAUACAUACCACAGUAGAGCAUAUGGUCUAGAGUCAGAGAUCCUCACAUAUAACAAAAGCCCCAAGUCAGGCCUCAGAUCUUCAGACAAUGUAAUUUUUAAUAUAUCGUUCUAUAUUUUUUUUCUGUUCCUUACUUUUUGUAUUGUGUUUUGAAUUUCUGGAAUCUAACAUCAGCUAGUUUGCUGCAAGGUUGAAGACUCUAACAUUUUAUCUAUUUGAUUUCUAUUUGAUUUAUCUGGUAUUGAGCCCAAUAAAGUUAUUAUUUAACUAAAAACAGCAAGGAUUUGGUGAAAUUCUGACAUGUAUCAUGAUUUGAAGAUAUACCAAUAGCAAGAAUUGAUCAUUUUGGGGCAAUUUAUUUCAACAUUUAUUUUUGCUGUUAGAAAACUGUUCUAUAUCUGAUAUGUCAGUCUUCAGCUUCCAGACCCUUUUUUUUUCCAAAUUUUUCAUGGGUGGGGUGGUUGCUGCAUUAUUCUCCCUUCAGGAUAAAGAAGCUUUGCAUAGAAUGUCUCUCAUCUAUAAACUUUAAACUCCCAGUCUUUUUUUUUUUUUUUUUUUUUUUCUUUCAAUAAUCAGAUUGAGUUUAUACAUUCACAGAAAAGAAUUUUCUUCUGCUCUCAAAUUAUGCAACCUAUUAUUAUUAUUUUUUUUUUCUCUUCUACUAUUCCCAUUAAAAUAUGGACAGCAGAUCUAUGGGAAAUAUUCCAACAAUUGCAUCAGGAUUUAAGGAUUAUAUUAGCUCUGUUCAUGCAGCUUCACAGUGGGAGCUCAUGUUGAGUUGCUGGUCGACUAUGGCCCAUAAAUCGUUGCAGAGUGGAGGAAUUCUGAGGCACCGUACCCCAGUUUUUGGGGGUGAAAUUCCUUUCUAAUGAUGCAUAACUUUACAUUUGUCUCCUCUAAAAUGCUUUUUU